CAAUAGCGUAUAUUAACGUUGUUGCAGUUAAAAAGCUCGUAGUUGGAUUUCUGGAGGGAGCGUCGGCCCGUAUUUACGAGUGCGUGACGUCUCUGUCCAUCCUUGCGGGAAGGCACGGCAUUGAUUUGUUGUGUCGGAUCGCAUCAUUUACUGUGAAAAAAUUAGAGUGUUCAAAGCAGGCUUUCGCUUGAAUACAUUAGCAUGGAAUAAUAAGAUAGGACUUUGGUGCUAUUUUGUUGGUUGAGCCUAAAGUAAUGAUUAAUAGGGAUAGUUGGGGGCACCUGUAUUGCGUUGUCAGAGGUGAAAUUCUUGGAUUUACUCAAGACAAACAGCUGCGAAAGCGUCUGCCAAGGAUGUUUUCAUUAA
rnacentral:rRNA from 1 species